AACGAACGCUGGCGGCAUGCCUAAUACAUGCAAGUCGAACGAAGGCUUCGGCCUUAGUGGCGCACGGGUGCGUAACGCGUGGGAAUCUACCCUUGGGUUCGGAAUAACAGUUAGAAAUGACUGCUAAUACCGGAUGAUGACGUAAGUCCAAAGAUUUAUCGCCCAAGGAUGAGCCCGCGUAAGAUUAGCUAGUUGGUGAGGUAAAGGCUCACCAAGGCUACGAUCUUUAGCUGGUCUGAGAGGAUGAUCAGCCACACUGGGACUGAGACACGGCCCAGACUCCUACGGGAGGCAGCAGUAGGGAAUAUUGGACAAUGGGCGAAAGCCUGAUCCAGCAAUGCCGCGUGAGUGAUGAAGGCCUUAGGGUUGUAAAGCUCUUUACCCGAGAUGAUAAUGACAGUAUCGGGAGAAUAAGCUCCGGCUAACUCCGUGCCAGCAGCCGCGGUAAUGUCUGUACU
rnacentral:rRNA from 1 species